rnacentral:rRNA from 1 species
GUGAUCUAGCCAUGGGCAGGUUGAAGGUUGGGUAACACUAACUGGAGGACCGAACCGACUAAUGUUGAAAAAUUAGCGGAUGACUUGUGGCUGGGGGUGAAAGGCCAAUCAAACCGGGAGAUAGCUGGUUCUCCCCGAAAGCUAUUUAGGUAGCGCCUCGUGAAUUCAUCUUCGGGGGUAGAGCACUGUUUCGGCUAGGGGGUCAUCCCGACUUACCAACCCGAUGCAAACUGCGAAUACCGAAGAAUGUUAUCACGGGAGACACACGGCGGGUGCUAACGUCCGUCGUGAAGAGGGAAACAACCCAGACCGCCAGCUAAGGUCCCAAAGUCAUGGUUAAGUGGGAAACGAUGUGGGAAGGCACAGACAGCCAGGAUGUUGGCUUAGAAGCAGCCAUCAUUUAAAGAAAGCGUAAUAGCUCACUGGUCGAGUCGGCCUGCGCGGAAGAUGUAACGGGGCUAAACCAUGCACCGAAGCUGCGGCAGCGACACUAUGUGUUGUUGGGUAGGGGAGCGUUCUGUAAGCCGUUGAAGGUGUGCUGUGAGGCAUGCUGGAGGUAUCAGAAGUGCGAAUGCUGACAUAAGUAACGAUAAUGCGGGUGAAAAACCCGCACGCCGGAAGACCAAGGGUUCCUGUCCAACGUUAAUCGGGGCAGGGUGAGUCGACCCCUAAGGCGAGGCCGAAAGGCGUAGUCGAUGGGAAACAGGUUAAUAUUCCUGUACUUGGUGUUACUGCGAAGGGGGGACGGAGAAGGCUAUGUUAGCCGGGCGACGGUUGUCCCGGUUUAAGCAUGUAGGCGGAGGUUCCAGGUAAAUCCGGUACCUUUUUAACGCUGAGGUGUGAUGACGAGGCACUACGGUGCUGAAGUAACAAAUGCCCUGCUUCCAGGAAAAGCCUCUAAGCAUCAGGUAACACGAAAUCGUACCCCAAACCGACACAGGUGGUCAGGUAGAGAAUACCAAGGCGCUUGAGAGAACUCGGGUGAAGGAACUAGGCAAAAUGGUGCCGUAACUUCGGGAGAAGGCACGCUGAUAUGUAGGUGAAGUGAUUUACUCAUGGAGCUGAAAUCAGUCGAAGAUACCAGCUGGCUGCAACUGUUUAUUAAAAACACAGCACUGUGCAAACACGAAAGUGGACGUAUACGGUGUGACGCCUGCCCGGUGCCGGAAGGUUAAUUGAUGGGGUUAUCCGUAAGGAGAAGCUCUUGAUCGAAGCCCCGGUAAACGGCGGCCGUAACUAUAACGGUCCUAAGGUAGCGAAAUUCCUUGUCGGGUAAGUUCCGACCUGCACGAAUGGCGUAAUGAUGGCCAGGCUGUCUCCACCCGAGACUCAGUGAAAUUGAACUCGCUGUGAAGAUGCAGUGUACCCGCGGCAAGACGGAAAGACCCCGUGAACCUUUACUAUAGCUUGACACUGAACACUGGUCCUUGAUGUGUAGGAUAGGUGGGAGGCUUUGAAGUGUGGACGCCAGUCUGCAUGGAGCCAUCCUUGAAAUACCACCCUUUAAUGGCUGGUGUUCUAACGUGGACCCGUGAUCCGGGUUGCGGACAGUGUCUGGUGGGUAGUUUGACUGGGGCGGUCUCCUCCUAAAGAGUAACGGAGGAGCACGAAGGUUAGCUAAUCCUGGUCGGACAUCAGGAGGUUAGUGCAAAGGCAUAAGCUAGCUUGACUGCGAGAGUGACGGCUCGAGCAGGUGCGAAAGCAGGUCUUAGUGAUCCGGUGGUUCUGAAUGGAAGGGCCAUCGCUCAACGGAUAAAAGGUACUCCGGGGAUAACAGGCUGAUACCGCCCAAGAGUUCAUAUCGACGGCGGUGUUUGGCACCUCGAUGUCGGCUCAUCACAUCCUGGGGCUGAAGUAGGUCCCAAGGGUAUGGCUGUUCGCCAUUUAAAGUGGUACGCGAGCUGGGUUUAGAACGUCGUGAGACAGUUCGGUCCCUAUCUGCCGUGGGCGCUGGAGAAUUGAGGGGGGCUGCUCCUAGUACGAGAGGACCGGAGUGGACGCAUCACUGGUGUUCGGGUUGUCAUGCCAAUGGCAUUGCCCGGUAGCUAAAUGCGGAAGAGAUAAGUGCUGAAAGCAUCUAAGCACGAAACUUGCCCCGAGAUGAGUUCUCCCUGAGACUUUAAGUCUCCUGAAGGAACGUUAAAGACGAUGACGUUGAUAGGUCGGGUGUGUAAGCGUAGCGAUACGUUGAGCUAACCGAUACUAAUGAACCGUGAGGCUUAACCUU